AUUUCUUACUAAUUUUUAUAUACUAAGCUCUGGAGGCAUGAAUAGAGUUAUUACUGUUUAUAUAACAUCCUUGAUGUGGAUAUUGGAUAUAUGGGAGGAGUAAAUAUGUGACUUUUGCAUUGUUAACUGGCUCUUGCAAAGGCAUUAACUGUAGCUCAGUUAGCUUAUUGGUGGGAACAAUUCACACUAUUAAGGCCUAGCAUAAGAGGGUCACUUUAUGCAAAACUUAAAUGGGUGUGAUAAAGAACUCCACUGAUUCAAUGAAGGACUCACGGGACCUAGAUUAUGCCAACAUGUUUUAUCCAAUGCAGGAAUUGGAUUUCGAAGAAUUUU